CAAGCACCUCGCUAGGUGAGGCGUCUGCACGGAUAUAGGCCACUGACCUCGAACGUCGAAAGACGCCCAGGGUCAGGACAGCUCCUCCCGGAUUAAGGGUUGAGCCCAAGUGGCUUCCGACUCUGAUUGAGCCGGAUACGCCGUGUGGUGCCAAAGCUCUGACGAGAGGGGUGCCGU
rfam:Mycobacterium haemophilum strain TC3 contig_7, whole genome shotgun sequence.